rnacentral:rRNA from 1 species
GAUGAACGCUGGCGGCGUGCCUAAUACAUGCAAGUCGAGCGAACAGACGAGGAGCUUGCUCCUUUGACGUUAGCGGCGGACGGGUGAGUAACACGUGGGUAACCUACCUAUAAGGCUGGGAUAACUUCGGGAAACCGGAGCUAAUACCGGAUAAUAUUUCGAACCGCAUGGUUCGAUAGUGAAAGAUGGCUUUGCUAUCACUUAUAGAUGGACCUGCGCCGUAUUAGCUAGUUGGUAAGGUAACGGCUUACCAAGGCAACGAUACGUAGCCGACCUGAGAGGGUGAUCGGCCACACUGGAACUGAGACACGGUCCAGACUCCUACGGGAGGCAGCAGUAGGGAAUCUUCCGCAAUGGGCGAAAGCCUGACGGAGCAACGCCGCGUGAGUGAUGAAGGUCUUCGGAUCGUAAAACUCUGUUAUUAGGGAAGAACAAACGUGUAAGUAACUGUGCACGUCUUGACGGUAACUAAUCAGAAAGCCACGGCUAACUACGUG